UACGUAGGGGCUAGCGUUGUCCGGAAUCAUUGGGCGUAAAGCGCGUGUAGGCGGUCCGGUAAGUCCGCUGUGAAAGUCGGGGGCUCAACCCUCGAAUGCCGGUGGAUACUGUCGGGCUAGAGUGCGGAAGAGGCGAGUGGAAUCCUGGUGUAGCGGUGAAAUGCGCAGAUAUCAGGAGGAACACCAAUUGCGAAGGCAGCUCGCUGGGACGUUACUGACGCUGAGACGGCGAAAGCGUGGGGAGCAAACAGG
rnacentral:rRNA from 1 species